GGCCAGUCUGGUCUACAAGAGCUAGUUCCAGGACAGGUUACAAAACCAUAGAGAAACCCUGUCUCAAAUAAAAAAAAAGAAGAGAACAGCUUCUGGAAAGAAGAGAACUCUUCUGGAAAGUGUUUCCUGAGAGCACACAGGAACUAUGUUGUGGAGGUUGCGAAGGUUGUACCUUGUGCUAGCAGCCAAACUUGGCAGUGUAAGGGUCACCCAGGUGGUACUGGUUUUGAAGGCAUGAAGGGGUCAUGGAGAGCAGCUGAGGCUUCACACUGUGAGAGGCCAGGAGAGCCCAUUGGUGAAGGUGCAACCUCAGCCACAGUUGAAGGCCCAGGAUUGAAAGGGUCAUGCUGAGAAGCUGAGGCUUGGCACCAUGAAGAGAGGUUACUAGUGAGAGUGCAGCCCAGUUGCAGCAGAAGACCCUAGUGUUUUGGAGAUGCCAGUACCACGGGGUGACCACCAAGAGUAGCAGUGGAAUGGAGUCGGCAGACAAGCUGUGUGUGCUGCAGAAGACGGAGCCAGAGAAGUGACCCAACCCCAUUGGAGGAGCCCAGAAGAUUGAAUACAACAUUAGCUCAAUAAUAGCAGCAAUAACCACCCCCCAAAGAAGACCUUCAAAAGAACAAAAAACAAAACAACCAACUAGAUUUUUCCUUCAUACCAUGGGGAGUGGAUACCUGUUUCCUUUGAAUUGAAACAUUCCUUCUUGGAAGGAAAAGGAGACUUUGAGGACUCAGAGAGGUCAUGAAAUUUGGAAGACUCCUGAGGUACUCCCUAGGGUCAUGUAGGCAGUGAACAAUUGCUAAAGAGACCAUUUUCUGAUGGAGCCAGCAAGUUGUGCAGGGACUCCUGUGAUGCAACUGUUGUUCUGUAAUGGGUUUUGAUGAUGCAGCUGCCUUUCCAGCACAUGCUUCUGCAGGAAACCCUAAUUAAAUUGGUUCACCAACCUA